AAGAAGAGGGCCAGCCUGUGGUCUUCACCUCCAGUCCUUAGGGAACAGUGUAGGCAGAGGACAGGGUCAUUGUACCAUAAGCCUGGAGAGAGCCCCAAUGCCUACUGGCAGCUGCAGGUUCUUGGGCCACUGGCUUUUCCCCUGAGAGCUUCUUUCUUCCUCUGUCAGAAAAGAAUGCAAAUGUUUGCCCAGGAGCAGGGGGGUACAGGUAAAGUCAUAAGUGUGUUAUUGAUGCUCAGCGAUGUUUGGUGCCCUCUUCCCUUCCUGGAGGGGAUAUGGCAAUAUCUUAGAGUCUUAGGGCAGAGGAGAAAAAUCUCAGCUCUUCUAGGACAGCUGAGUGACGGGCAGAGGUCAGAAAGGAAUGAAAUCAACUCCGAGCUUUGAAGUGUUUGCCAUGUCGGAGAUGACAAAGGAGGAGGGAGGGCGAUGCCCUCGGCAUCCCGACAGUCACCUGCUACCGCAGCUACUCCUCACAUCUUUGCGUUUGCUGUCUUUUUAUUCUGCUGGAUUCCUACAGGCAGAUGACAAAAGGACCGGUUACUCAGCCCUAUUCAGCCACUCAGUCAGCAAGUGAUGUUCCAGGAACACUUCCAGUGACUGAAUUCUGAAUGCGUAGUGGUCAUUCUUGCUCUUGGCAAAUUAACCAUCCCUUUUCUGGACCCCAGAUUCUCACUGCAGGAUGAGUCCUUCAUAGCGGGGAUACCACGUGCAGGGUGGGAGAGCUGACUCCCGGAGAUGAGAAGGGUUCUGUUUUCCUCUCUGUAUACACACCCACUUCUUAGAAAUCAGCCUUCUUCUUCAAAAGGCGUGUGUGGUUCCUUGGUUUACCAGCAGAUGGCGCCAAACACUCCCGUGGGAACCGAGGCCAUGACUUCCUGUGGUUUCCUCUUUCAACCCCUUCCUCUCCUUCUCUGGGAGGGGCUUCUCCUUUCAGGUCCCAGGCAGAAAGUCACGUAAAACACUUUGUGUCUGUCAGCAGAUUCCUGGAAGAUCGAAUUGAAUGAUGCUUGCUACCGAGCAGGGUUGGAGGGCUCUAUUGACCUCUUCUCUCUCUUUUUGUCUCCUGCGAACAGCUCAUUGGCUGCCUACUGGCUUUGCACAGCGGACUCCAGGUGGCUUUAGCCCUUUCCCAAUUGUUCCCUGGCUGCCUCCUCUCCAGGUUCUUUCUGGUGGAGGAGGAAAGACAUGGCAGAGAGCUGGCCUUUAUCCCACACUCUCUAUGUCCGCUCUGUCCCUUAACCCCAGAACCUGAAGGGCUUCAGGCCCUGCAGACAGAACCCUACUCUUUGGCUGUGGUGCCUCCUGCUGACCUCUUUGCUUUGAUUUCCAAAUAAGGUGAGCUUUGGCCAGCAGUGAGAGGAGUCUUAUAUUCAGACCUGAUUUUCCCCACUGCCAGGUCUCUUGGAAAGGCCAGUGCCGGCUUGCUUUUUCUCUUUCCGACCACAGGUGGACUGACCACCCGUGAUAUUGUAACUUUGCUGACUCUCCAGCUACCCAAAUUGGGCAGCUGUUUGGUUGUGCAGGUAGCCUGUGAUAGUUCCAAUGGGAACUCCAGCCUAUGGACUCCACAUUAGCUCUCAGGACUAUGGUUGGUAUUUAAGGUCAGACUUUCCAGAAACAGGAUAGCCAUGGUAUAAAAAAGUAUCCUUAAGACUUAGGAGAUGGCUCAGUCAGCAAAGCACAAGGAACUACGUUUUACCCCCAAGAACUCAUGUGAAAGGAAGCGGGGUAUGGUAGCUCUUGCUUCCAGUACCAGCAGUGGGGUAGCAGAAAGAGUCAGAUUAAUGGGGCUCGUUGUGUAACCAGUCUAGCUAGCGUACUCGGCAAGUUCCAGGCCAGUGAGCUACCCUCCUGUCAUCCCAAAACAAGGGGGACUAGCCCCCGAGGAAAGAUACCUGAGGUCAUUCUCCAGCCUCUACAUGCAUUUGCGCGCGCGCACACACACAUGUGUGCAUCUGUGUACAAAUAAACACACACAGGCAUACACAUGAAAAUGGUGUUUUGUUCCACCUGCCGCCCACCCGCUAUGUCAGACAAUAGGGGUUAUUUUUGUAUAUGUACAGAGAUAUGUAAAAAUGGACUAUGUUCUGCAGGAGCUCCUAACCAAAGCAGCAGGGUGUGUGUGGGGGGACUGUUAAGAAGACGGACACUUCUAAGAGCCCCUGACCAAAGGGAGGGGCGGUUAAGAAGACAGACACAGAUAUUCCCAGGUGAGCAUGCCGUGGAAGCCACAAAGCCCGGGAGCUAAGAGAUGACAUAGAGUGGCCUGCUCCCUGUCACUCAGGAACCACGGGGAGAUUUGCGGAUCCCUGUAAUGUUAGUUCUCCAGUGAGGAUCUGGAGGCUUUGGUUUCCAGCAGGCACCUGCAACCAUCAGGUAACAUGAGUCCAUCAACCCCAAGGGCUGUAACUUCUUCCUGGUUGGAUCCACCAGGGAGAUUUGUUUAGGUACUAUGGAAGAGGUGGCUGGUUAGUUCAGAUGUCACCUCAAGAGGAGCACAACAGUGGGGCCUCGGUUCUCCCUAUUACUCUCUCUCCUUUAACUCUCCCCCGAAACUGUGACCAAUCCAAAAAGUCUCACUUGGAUGAAAUCCACCAGCUGAAAUCCUGAGGAGGUUAUGUCUGAGAGGUGUGCACGAACAAGAAUCUCAGGAACGGAGUGAUCUUGCUAUACAAGGUGUAGUUAUCAGGGUCUUCUGAAGGAACAGCCCCCCUAGAAAGAAAACACACACUGUGGCUGGGGUAUUCCCACAACGAACGACUGUCUCCUGGCAAGAAAGGCUAAAAACCCAGGAGUCGUUCAGUCCGCGAUACUGGGUGUCUCAGCUGUCCCAAUGUGGUGUUUGAGUCCCAAGGGAGUCGCAGAGCACUGCCUCCUUCCCAUCUCUGCUGCGUUCCCAAAGAAGUGGGUGCUAAGGUCAGUGGUCAGUAGGUGUGUCCCUGCCCCAGGGUGUAGAUGCUGGAAGAGAAGUAAUUUGUGGCAAAGUUUUCAGUCUGCUUUAUUUGCUUUUUCCAAAGACAUUUUAAUGGUACAAAUGUGUGUGUGUGUAUGUGUGCAUGUGUGUGUGUUUAUGUGUGUAUGUGUGUAAGUUAGUCUGUAAAAUUUGGGCAAUGCAUAGAACUUUCCUAUAAUGCACCAUUCCGAGAUAAUGGUACUCACAUCUUAGCAUGUUUCUUUCUUAUCCAUCUCGCUAGCAGGGAAAUGAUGUGUUAUUGCAUGUGUGAAUACAUGCUUAGUCAAUACUUAUUUUUAAGAGUGGUAAAAGGUCUGUCUUUUUGAUUGACAUGAACAGCUUCUGAUGCCAUGCAAUCAUUCCUGAAAAUAGGAUACUUUUAAAUACUCUAUUACAUCAUCCCCAUCGUAUCUUGUUUAGUCCUAGUCUGCAUGUUUUUAUGUUUUCUUCUUGUCUAGGUUGGUUCUCUUCUUUUGUCUGAGAUAUCAGAUAUUCUGGGGGUAAAUCGCUUAUUCCAUGCUUCUGAUGCUUUUCCUAGUCCCAGAAAUGAACCAUAAGAUUGCAGAAGAUAGUGCGACGGCUUUGGGUACCUCUUGCAAGAUGUGCUCCUGGAAUUUCCCCUUCUACAGCAACAGCACCAGCAUAGGACUCUCCAGGAUACUGCAUAACAUCACCCCCCAAAUCAAAACCCCAAAAGGAUUCACCAGACAGGGUCUCUCACUGAAGCUGGAGCGCACCGAUUCGGGAAGGCUGAGUGAUCUGCCUGUCUCUGCCUCCCUAGUCCUGAGAAAGCUUACAAUGACCACCUUUCUAGAACGUCCACACAUCUCCUGACGAAGACCGCUCUUCUUAUUUUCCUUCCACGUUCUGCUAGACCCAGAAACCGGGAGUAAAAGAUUUGUACCCGGAGAAGCUGAGUCCCAUCGCGAGGACGAUUAGCCCAACAAUUCUGCCCUGAUAAGGAGGUGAAUACAGCCAGAAGUCCUCCCUUUAAGGACAAGAAUCUGUCUCUAUGUUCAAGCUAUUCACUGUGGAGGAAGACUUGUUUCUGAGGCCACAGGAGGAUGCCAGGUCCUGUUCUAUCACUUUCUACUUUAUUCCCCUGAGACUGGAUCACUCACUGGACCUGGAGUUACACUAGAGCUCAGAAGCUAGACCAGCUUUAGUUCUGCUGGCCUAGUCGGUCCUGGGACGUCGUGCAUCUAUUGGGUCACACUCAGUUCCCAAGACUGAGAGCCAAGGCUGUGCCUCUGAGUCCAGCCAUGAUGACCAGUGUGACCGCGUGAUGGCGGGUGGUGUGGAUCACCUCUCUGAGUCUCCUUUGCCUUGGCCCCAGACUCAGCAUGUUGCUCCCAGCACCUCUGCUACUGAAGCUGCGGGGAUCUGUGGGUAGUUGGAGUUAUGCAUGCAAAGCCCCCAUGCCUACCUUGUCAUGUGGGGGCUGGCACCCACACUCAUGUCCUCACGGUCACACAGCAAGUGCUCUUGACCAUGAAGUCGUACCUCCAGCUUCAGAUUCCAGCUCGUGAUGGACAGCUAAGGCACGGUCCUCUUCCUGGGAGGAAAACCCCCUUCUUGAAGAACCACACCCACCAUGGAGACAUUGAGUUCCAACCAAGCUUAAGGGACUUCCUAAACAUAUCAUGGACCUACUGGAAAAGCCUGGAAGGCCAUAUGAGUGACCAAAGUGUACAUGAAGCUGGAGUGGAUAGAUAUGAAGUGCUCCAUGAAAUAUAUAUUUGAGGACAAAAACGUACUUGAAAAUACAGAUUUGCUGGUCUCCAGAAAGCCGAACGUUUAUAAAUAGACCAAUAUGCACAGGGCAUGAGAGACAUCUCGUCUUGUUGGUCUGGAGUUGGACUUGAAUGGCAUGGGCAUGGGCAAGCUGCAGCUCCUUUCAGGUCUCUUGGCGUUCGGUCUCCUUCAUGUCCUGUGUCUAGACAAGCCAGUCUUAUCUGCCAGAUCUUCUUCCUAAGUUGUGUUCCCUAGUGCAUCAAACCUGAUUGCUCUGGUUUGCUGUGUUGCCCAAUGGCCAUGAGUUGGAGGCAGACCUCAGAGUUUAUGCUUUGUUGUUGUCUUGUAGGCAAGGUCUUUGGGAGGUAGUCCUUGAGAAGAUUUGGAGGGUGGGACCACCAAGGAGGUGCUAGUGACUUUAUUUAGGAAGCAUGACUAAUACAGAAGCUGGGCGUGGAGAGCACACACCUUCGAUUCUAAUGCCUGGGGGCAGAGGCAGGCAGAGAGGAAGCUGGCCCCAUUUAACUGCCUAACAGUUUCUCUCCAUCUUCUAGGCCACCUCCCAAGCUCGGCUCUGCUGUUUGCUUCUCCCCUGCCUCUCUUAGUGGGUGGGAGUCCCCAUCCUGUGCUCCUUGGGCCUCCUUCACUUGCUUUCAUUAUUGUGCCAUGAGCUGUAAUUCAUGGCUCAUGAGUUCCUUUGUUCUCUCAGCAUAUGUGAAAGGCCUCUUCUGCAUUGGAAACCUUGCCAAGUGCUGAUGUUAAGACUUGGGUAUAAAAAGGCCUACGUGAGGCCUAGGGCAAUGACUCAGAGGCCAGAAGGGCUUGCUGCUCUUGUAGGGGACGUGAGUUCAAUCCCCGGUGGCAGUCACAUUAGGUGACUCACAAUGGUUUAUAGGUCCGGGGGAUCUGAUACUCUCUUCUGGCCUUUGUGGGUACCCUACCACAUUACCUACACAUACCCAGACACCUAUCCACACUAUCCACACUAUCCAAAUCAAUAUUUAUUUAUUUUUACAAAAGAUUACAUGUGCAGGCCUCUAGUUGAGUAUUGAUUGGAGAAUAAUGACAGCCACUCCUCACUCCGUCAACUGAUUAGGUCACAGGUAAGCUGUUUGCACAGUGGUCCAUAAGGACAUAAGGCCUAGCAGUCACCAGAAAUCUCCUUUUUACCUUGAAAACUCUUUUUGUUGUUGAUGAUGAUGAAGAUGAUUCAUAUUAAUUUCAAUUAGCAUGCAAGACAGCAGUCCCCCCCCCGCCUUUCCCCCUCUCUUCCCUGCUAAAAGACGCAGAUGUGCCUUUAAAGGGUGUAUGUUGGCUCAGACCCUCCUUGAUCUGUGUCUCUGUCUUUCUGUCUCAGUCAUGUGGCGAACGGCUUCGUUCCAGCACAGUUCCCACUGCUAUGAUGCCUGCUGCUUUGCCACAAGCCUCCAGGGGUGGGACAAAGAGACCAUGGAUUCAGACUGCAGAAACUGUGAGUCAUAAUAAACCCUUUCUUCCUUGGAAGCAGAUUUCUCAGGGGUUUUAUCACAGUGAUGGAAGGACUGGCUAACACAGCUGGCAGGUACAUUCUGAAAAUCCACAUUAAACCUGUCAUUUUGCAAGCUAAUUGAAAAUAUGACAACAACAACCACCACAACAAAAAGAUUGCAUGGCCAGGUGAUGCCGUUCCCAGACACCAAUGUUAUUAACACGAUUCCUACUACCAAGCAUGAUAAUGCUCUAUGAGCUGUCGAUCAGUGGCCCUCCAGACCCACUGUACAGUCUAUUGGUAAUGCCCAGGGUUGCCCACCAGCACUGGAUAAGAAGACCUUGUUGCUGAAGACAACACACAAUCGUUUCAGGACUGAGAUGUCAAGCUGGAGCAGAGCUGGAAGCUUCCUCCCUCUGGUUAGCUUUCAUAGUGUCAGAAGGUGGUGCGCCGGCUGCUGAGCGAGAGAAGUCAUCAGAGGCCCCAUUCAACUGUGAACCCUGUGAGCUACAUUACCACCCUGCCAGGUAGGCUUGCCAGGCAGGAUGUGCCCACCAGGGCGAUGGUGCCAUGGAUAUGCUCUUCCCUCGCCUCAAAGGUGAUGUUCACAACUGGUGCCUUUAGUUCUGGAACCUAAACACUCCAUGUGAGAUCUCCAGGCCAAUGGAUUUAAGUCUAUGGCCCCCCGCCCCUGCCCACAGUCAGUUUGGAUUUAGCUUGUUUGUAUUUGAGGCUGGUUUUGUCUUCGAACUUCAUGAUGUGAUUGGUAUCCUGUCUUCCCUCUCUAUUCCAUUGUUAACUGUUGCUCAUGCUCGGACUGUGAGAUGUUUGAAAUCCAAGUAGUAGUCCUCAUUAUAUUUGAAAUAUGUAAUAUAUUAUUUAGGAAGAACAGAGAAGAAAGAGUGGGUAUUUUAUUUAAACUUUUAAUUGAAGCUUUUAUUUUUGUUUGAGGAUUUCAUAUAAGAGUACAAUCUUUAAAUCAUCUCCCAUGUCAGCAAAGGCCACACAGAGCACCAGUUCCCUGUGACUGUUCCCUGUCCUCUCUGUUCCCCCUCCCUCUGGCACUUGUCCUCCAUAAUACUGUAUAAGACAAUGAGGGACAUGGACUGUGGGGUCCCAGGCUCAUGAUCAGCUACUUCCAGGUCUCAUUCGUGUCUCUGCCUUAAGACCUCCUGACUUGGCCAGGGGGUAGUGGCACAUGCUUUUAAUCCCAGCACCCAGGGAGCCGAGGUAGGAGGAUCUCUGUGAGUCUGAGGCCAGCCUGGUCUACCGAGUGAGCUCCAGAACAGCCAGGACUGUUUCACAGAGAAGCCCUACCUUGAAAAGCCAAAACCAAAAACAACAACAUCAAAAGACCCUCGACUCAUUUCCCUGCCUGACUGUUCUGUACUUCGUGAGAAACCGAUGCCCCCGUUAAAAGGAGGCCUCCCUUGGGUGCGCUGCGGGGAAGGGCAGCUGUUCUGUUAGACUCUUCAGGACUCACAGGGGAAAAGCAAAACCAGGUCAUCUUGUUCUCUCAAGAACGCUGAUCUGGACGUGAAAUUCAGAUGUCAGAAUCAUCUCAAUGUCUACUCAAGGAGAUGCCAAUAAAACUUACCUCAGAAUUAGUUUCCUCCAGCCAGAAUGGCAGCAUUCCCCUGCUAAAGAUCCAGACCACUGGCAGUGGUUGAGGAGGGGAAUCAGUGCUGUGGUCAGAGGGAGAGCACUGGGGAGUGCACAGAAGCAGGGCAGAGGUGGAGGGAGCUGAAAUGGUAGAGGUGAUGGGUGGGGGUUUUGCCCUUGAGAGACACAGAAGAAAUAUUGGGACCUUCAGGAUAGGAGUGCUAUGAUGAGGGUCUGAAUUGGAAGAUGCUGGAAACAUUUGGAGAUCAGGAUUUCGGGUCUAAAGUCACUUUACCGUGGGAAUCUGUUUUCUAAUACAGCCACAGCCUGCUUAACGGCAGGGACCCCCCCCCCCCCCGUGAAAGGAGUCAUCGGGUGAUUUCUGCCACUGGGCAGGUGUCACAGGGCACACCCACCAAUGUAGAAGUCAUAGCACUGCCUGGCUUGGCUCCUUGGCUUCAUAGUUUGUUAUACAAACUGGGACACUGGGUCAUGGUGGUUCUUGGCUGAACAAGGUUUGUUUAUUUUUUUGAAAAUGAGAUUUGUUGGAGACAGAAAUCCACUUUUUUUUUUUAAAUCAUAGCUCACAUGACAGCAGUCAUGUGGAGCAGAAUUCUGUGUAAUGUAUGCUGAGCUGUGUUGAGUGUUGGGAGAGCUGGGUUCUAGGACUAUGGGCUGCUGACCCCUGAGCAACCCUGGAGCCUUUUUCCUCUCAGCAGCCUCACUUCCAGUCUGGAUGUGUACAGGUUUGGGUCAUACCCGGGGUGCGCCCUGCAGCCCUUCUUUUUGCCUGUGAUGGAACUCUAGCAGGUCACACCUUCUCAGUUCUUAGGUGCUCUGGAAAGCCAGUGGUGGCUGUGAAAAUCUUCACGCCUCUGCUUCUCCUCUAUGCCUAGAACACUUUACUCCCUCGUCUCCUUGGAGUCUGCUUUUUCACUCCGGAAGACUCAACUUUGGAGCUCUGGGAAGCUCACACUUUCUGAGAUCCUCUUUGACCUGGAGUAACACAUGACAAAGCACCAAGACUGGAGCUACAUACUUUGGAGCAGACCCCAACCCAAUAUGGUUUGUGUCACAAAAAGCAAAUGUGAAGAGACUGAGACAAGCACACAGUGGGAAGACUCCUGAACAUGAAAAUGGGUGGAGCCAACUCUACAGGACAAGGAGCCUGAAGAUUACUAAUGGCACCAGAAGAGGAGAAACCUGGAACUCCAGCACCAGGAUGAGCAGCCCCACCCUCCCUUGAACCUUUGACUUGUAGCCCACAGAGCCAGAACCACAAGAUGAUAAGUCUUUAUGGCCGGGGAUGUUGCUCAGUUAGUUGGUUUACAUAAAACUGGGUGUGGUGGAUUACACCUGUGACCCCAGUGCUUGGGAGGUGAAAGAAGGAGGAACAGGUCAAGAUCAUCCUUGGCUAGGUAGUGAGUACAAGGCUAGUCUGGCUAACAGGAGACUGUCUUUAAAAAGAAAAAACUAUGUAGCUCCAUCAUAGGCAAGAACAAGGGCUGCAGCCCCCCCUCCCUCCCCCACGCCCAGUGUGACUCAAACCUGUGCACAUUCUGACAGGAAAUGAGGCUGCUGAGUGGAAAAAAACUCCAGGGUUGCUUAGGGGCCAACAUCCCACAGACCUAGAACCCAAUUCUUCUAACACAGCACACAGUGGACCCUAUACUGUUGGUAGUGAUUCAGCCACACAACAUGGCUGACACUUUCGGGUUCCAGGGCCACACAUGUGUGGACAAGCCCUCAGGCAGAAGUGCCUAAUGGCCCUGGGAAUCUUAAAGGACCCUGUGUGACCCACGUGCAGCAUGGUUGCAUUAUUUAGGUAUGACAUAGCUGUGUGAGCCCUUGCAUGCAUGCGUGAGCUCCAUCAUCUGAGUAUGGCGUAACCAUGCCAUCCCUCUGUGUGCAUGCGAUAGGCAGCCCUUAAAAUUUCAUCUCUCUCUCUCUGCACACUGACCUCACCAGGCUUUUAAAUCCCCCCAUAAUAAACUCCUAAGCAGGUUUGUUAUGUGUUCCACAUUUCCUUCUCACUUGCACCACGUAAUUUUAUUGGUGUUGUGACUCGGGUAAUUUCACUGAUGACUUACCAAAUUAUUUCUGAGUAAGGUUAACCGCUAAGGAGGUUAGGACAUUGAUAUCUGGACAAGUCCUCUUGUCUGUGCUCUAGGGCUUCCGUGGGUUCCUUGACCUUGAAGACCUUCAAGGACCUUGUGAGUCCUUGAAGACUCACAGGUCCUCAGAAAUGUGACCUGCAACUGGGACUCCAGCAGAGUUGGAGUUCAGAACACGGAAGAGUCUUCCCCUGUGGGUUUGAUAAACAGCAUCAAAGGAGCAGAUAUUUCCAAGGGUCAGGAGGAUCCUCUAUGUAAGACCUCCCCCUCUCCGAGCCAAGAAAAAAGUAAGACACUGACUUGAAAGUGGACAAGACUGAAGGCUUUGUGUGAAAUGCAAAUCCUUCUUCCCAGAGCUGUGGAGAUUGGCUGCUCAGAUACAGUGUGCUCUGGGGGAAAGCCAAGGCUCCUGUGAGAGAUUCACAUGCAGGCCGAGCCUGUUUGAGGUUUUAACCAAGAUGUGAAUGUGUGGUUUGACGCCACAGCAGAUCGGGUCUUUUCCUGCCUGUGUUACUCCAAGGUCGUUGGAUGGCUGUAUCACAUGGUGACAUCGCAUGAUGAACAGCUGGGUUCUCUGGCUCUUUCCGGCUCCCCACAUUACAGCUGCCGAACAAAAAUGUGGAGGCAAGCACGAAGAAUGUAUUUCCAGUGUGAGGGAGAAGGCCUGUACCAAUCUUGCUGGGGAAAAGCCUCAGCUAAGGGUCAUAUAGACAGACCCUGGAGUUAGUACAGGACGUAUUCAAACACUAAAUUCUUAGCCCAAGGGAGAUUUAUUACCCUGGAGGGGAAGGGAAGGGAAGGCAGCAGCAGCAAACACAAACAAGCAAGAAAAGCAAGCGUGUGGGUUUCCAAGGGGGUCUGCUUUACGGUGACCUGGGAAAUCCUGAUUGAAAACACUAGCCAAAUAAUGCAUUUUGAUAGUUGGACCUUGGGGUUUUGUCUCAGGGAUGAGUUAGUAGUUAAAUAAGGGAAUAGACCUUGGGGCCUAGCUUUAGGAAUGUGCUGGCUUUCAGCAAGGGAGAGGGAAAGGGGUAAAAAGGCAAAACCUGACUGCAAUAUUUGCCGCGCUCGGACCUGAUGCAGCCCCUUCACCCUAAGAUAUGUGACAACCAUGAUGUAGGUGUGGCUGUGGGGCAAUCCUCAGAGUCUGGAGGAGGAUCAGCUGUGAGCCCAGGGCUCACCCAAAGCUGGGCACUGCUGAGCCAGGGUACCGGCUGUUGGAAGACUAUAUCAUGCUAUGUAUUUCUACGCCCCAGUCUGUUUGGCUCUAAUUGGCUACCAUCAACAAAGGUGCUCAGAAAUAAAAGAAUUUUCUCACAGUUCUGGAAGCUGCGAGGCCCAGAUCUUCAAGACAGAUCCAAGGGGAGGGCCUUACCUCUGCAAACUUCCGACCACAGCUGCAUUUCUUUCCGUGUCCUUUCAAAUACUUAACGAUGCAGAUGCUGGAUGAUGUGUCUCCAGACCUGCACUUUCUGUCGAGCGUGGCUUCCGAUGGUUGUGCAUUAUUGCAUCAAGUUUGUACACAAUAAAAAGCUGGAACAUCUAACAAGAUGUCCCGCAAAGGGACCAGAUGGAAUUUCAGUGUAUUCGAAGGUGAGAAAGCAAGCCAGCCACCACACAAGCACUUGGAAGGCUAGCGGCGUGCAUUACUGGAAGGCAUGGCCGGGAGAUUUUAUUUGGUUAGAGAGAAAGUCUCAAAUGAACCAGGAGCUGAGGGACAACAGUUACCACAACUUUCUCGAAAUAGUGUGUAUAGAAGGGAGGAUCACUAAAAAGAACCCUGAGGGAGUGUGGGCAUUUAAAUUUGGAAUCAAAGAGGAAUCUGUAAUGGAGAUGAAGGACCAAUGAGAGAGGCAGGAAGAUAUUUGAAGGCGAUGUCUUAGAUGUCAGAGGAAAGGGACAUUUUCAAUAGAAAGCAGAAGGGCAAGGUAAACAUUUUCAAGGAGACCAAGAACAAUGCGAUACCACCACCUGUGCUGGUGUGCUGGCUAAUCUUAUAUCAAUUUAGCACAGGCAAGAGUCAUCUGAGAGAAGAAAACUUCUUGAAAAUGCUUCCGUAAGAUGGGACUGUAGGCAAGCCUGCAGGAUACUUUCUUAAUUAGUGAUUGAUGGGGACAGUCCCAGCCCAUUAUGGGUGGGGCUAUUCCUGGGC